rnacentral:rRNA from 1 species
GAUGAACGCUGGCGGCGUGCCUAAUACAUGCAAGUCGAGCGAACAGACGAGGAGCUUGCUCCUCUGACGUUAGCGGCGGACGGGUGAGUAACACGUGGAUAACCUACCUAUAAGACUGGGAUAACUUCGGGAAACCGGAGCUAAUACCGGAUAAUAUAUUGAACCGCAUGGUUCAAUAGUGAAAGACGGUUUUGCUGUCACUUAUGGAUGGAUCCGCGCCGCAUUAGCUAGUUGGUAAGGUAACGGCUUACCAAGGCAACGAUGCGUAGCCGACCUGAGAGGGUGAUCGGCCACACUGGAACUGAGACACGGUCCAGACUCCUACGGGAGGCAGCAGUAGGGAAUCUUCCGCAAUGGGCGAAAGCCUGACGGAGCAACGCCGCGUGAGUGAUGAAGGUCUUCGGAUCGUAAAACUCUGUUAUUAGGGAAGAACAAAUGUGUAAGUAACUAUGCACGUCUUGACGGUACCUAAUCAGAAGGCCACGGCUAACUACGUG